UAGUGCUGAAUCUGCCAGUUUGGACCUGGACUCCCCAUGGAUGGGGAUUGACAUCAGCCCUCGGGCCUGAGGGGUGGGAGAAACGGGGCAGGAAGGACAAGAAUUGCCAUUUACUGAAGGCACAGAAUCUCAGAGAAUUCUUACAACACCUCAGAGAGAAGGGCCUGCCAGGCAAUGGGUGCUCCAUGAUUACUGCUGAACAAGUGGAUGAUGAACCAGCGAUGAGUAACAUAGGCCCUGCUCUCAGAGAGUCUCCAACCUGGAAGACACACUCAUCUGAAGGAACAAAGGACCAGAUGGAGAAAGAAGCUGGCUCUCCCCAGUCAGAUGGACCUGACUGCAGGCAUCCGUGACCACACCACUUCGAGAAGCCAUGGAACUCCCAUCUCGAUGAUCCUCUUUCUUUCUGAGGAACUAGCCCUUGACUGAGCAAGAGCAGGUUGACCUAAUAUGCAAAGGAAUGAGAAGAAAAGAAUUCAAUAAGCCUUUACCUUCCUUCUCCUCUAGUCCAGGAGAAAGUCAGCUCAGGGACACCUGGGUGGUUCAGUCAGUUAAGCGUCCUGACUCAGGUCAUGAUCUCAUGGGUUCG